ensembl:lncRNA
CGCUCAAAUGCUGAAAAGUAUGAAUCUACUUCAGCCUCCCGGAAAGGCGGCACUACCGCAAUAUUCUUGCUCACCUCAAACCGACCGAGGUUGAGAGCUAACGGAACCCCAACACCCGCCUCUAACUCGAGCUGCCUGAUUCGCACCUCUUUCUCUGCAUCUAUUUCUUUCUUUCGAAGUUCAAAUUGUCUGUCUUUUUCCCUCUCCUCUCGUUCCAUCUCUAGGCGAGCCAGCCGGUACUCGAGCCUAGCCGCAGCACUUCUGGACCCAACAGAGGAACGAGGCGAAAGGUCGGCCCUAGACUCUUCACCUGAGGCCUCACUGCCCUCGUCCAUCCCCUCACAAACCCCCUGGUGAACCAACCCUUUUUUUAUCAACUCUAACAUCUCUGCCUUGAGGGCCUGCCUUGGGACGGAGAUUUUAUAAUGAUCGGCGACGGCGAAUAACUCUGACCUGCGCAUCCCUCCCAGCUGGUCAAGGGAUGGACCUGCUAGAAAAACAGCCAGUGCUGGAGCAGCCAUUCUAGUAGGUACACACGCCACCACCACUACUACAAACCAAACUAGCAACUUGUUGCUGAAAUCACCCUACAACACCACACCUUCGCACCAGCACCCACCAGGACCUUGUGCUCACAGGGAAGUCGGGAGAUUGACGAUCCCGGACGAGCCCCCACUUGUUACGUCUCCCUUAGUCUAGGUGUAAGGGAGCGCAACCCCUGCAAACAUGAGCCCUGAUGAACGCGGCGACCAGAGGUAUGGGGUCGUGGUGUGAGUGACGACUACUGGCACAGGCAAAUGGUGUAAACAAAAAUAGGAGGUUUAUUCUCUCCUUAAAAGGAAAAACAAAACAAAUGUUCAGGGGAAAAGGGGCUGGGCGAGACCAAAGCAAAGAAACAAGCAAAAAGGGUGGACACUUCCCUAACUGACCUAAUUUCCCCCCCCCCUUUACUCUACCUCGGGCACGGAUGAGGCCCGCUAACCAAAAGUACAGGGAGUGGUCCGCCCAGGUCUUGCCUAGUGUAUCUAGACAGGCAGUCAGCUAC